rnacentral:piRNA from 1 species
UGAGCACAUGGUGAGCCAGACUAUUCAUGGGU